rnacentral:rRNA from 1 species
GACGAACGCUGGCGGCGUGCCUAAUACAUGCAAGUAGAACGCUGAAGAGAGGAGCUUGCUCUUCUUGGAUGAGUUGCGAACGGGUGAGUAACGCGUAGGUAACCUGCCUUGUAGCGGGGGAUAACUAUUGGAAACGAUAGCUAAUACCGCAUAACAAUGGAUGACACAUGUCAUUUAUUUGAAAGGGGCAAUUGCUCCACUACAAGAUGGACCUGCGUUGUAUUAGCUAGUAGGUGAGGUAAUGGCUCACCUAGGCGACGAUACAUAGCCGACCUGAGAGGGUGAUCGGCCACACUGGGACUGAGACACGGCCCAGACUCCUACGGGAGGCAGCAGUAGGGAAUCUUCGGCAAAGGGGCAACCCUGACCGAGCAACGCCGCGUGAGUGAAGAAGGUUUUCGGAUCGUAAAGCUCUGUUGUAAGUCAAGAACGGGUGUGAGAGUGGAAAGUUCACACUGUGACGGUAGCUUACCAGAAAGGGACGGCUAACUACGUG